UGCAUAGGUAUCAUACACAUACUUCUGAUAUUAUUUUAUUCUUAUCAGUACCUUGAAUAAAGCUGUUUCAUAAAAUUGGCGCAAGGGGCCUGGAAACGACAUUGUUACCUUGGCAACAAAAUUAGAAGUGUUUUUCCAUGCGUCUCAUCAUGUACAAUCAGUAUGCAAAAUUUCAUUUGAUUUGGGCCCAUAAUAACUGAGCUAUGCUUCAGUGUAGUAUUCAAUAAACAUACUUGCCCAGCUAAUGACGUCACACGUUGUGCUGAAUCAGCAAUUUAUAUUUUCACAUUUUUGCGUAUAACUUCGGAACUAGAUGAGAUAGAAUAGAGCAUUAAACGGCCAAUCGGCUUAUUUUUUCAUGCUCUUUCAGAUGAAGCAAUAAGAUAGAUGAAGCAAUUUUUGUUGCCAAUACCCUUUAAUCCUUGUUCUGAGGCAGCGGUCAGUUUUUCCGAUGUAGGACAAUUGACAGCCAGGACAGCUAAAUUUGUAUACAACACU